GCAUCCUCGCUCUCUUCCUUAGGCUGCAGGUGAAAAAGGAGAAACCUAAGUUUCUGCCAGAAAGCAGAACAACUUCAACUUGCGGAAUUGAGGCUGCUGUGUGUGAAGGGAGAUUUCACAGAUAAGAAGUCCCCUAGUGAUCUGCCACAGUGUCUGAUUUGCUGUGCGUCACGCCGGGGGCAGCCAGAGGACACAUGGAGACCAGAGCAGUAGAUUCUCUGGGGGCUUAAUUUAUGCUAAGUGUUGAGCAUGCUUUUCCCAUGUAGAUCGCAAAAGACAGUUCCCGUAUCAGACUCUAUGAACACUGAUGUUAUCAACGGUGCAUUAUUCCCCAGGCAUCUAAGUCUCAUCUCAUGGAGUUCUUGGCUGCCUUUCAACAUCAUUAUAGACCCUGAUGAUGUCCUUACAGACAUUCCUAAUCCUGACAUCUUUUCCAGCUUGCCAAAAAUGGUCCUCCUUUGUCAAAAUCCUGUUCUUCUUCAUCCAAUGUGUGUUAGAAUCUGAAAUACCUGUAGGUGGUGCAUGGGGCUGCCAGGAGAGUGGGUGGGUGCCUGUCUCCUUCCAGCCUAGUCCACCAUGCCAUGGUGGUCUACUUCAGGAUCUUCUGCAAGCCUCCUUCUAGUUUAUGAACUUUCCAGGCAGAGCAGCAUCUGAAGUUUGAUGUUGCGACUGCUUGUCACUGUCGCUAUGACAAAUGCGCUGCUUCUGCUUCCCUGCCUGCACAGUGCCCAUCUGCGUGUUGCUGACCAGAGAAUUGAAAUGCACAUCUUCAGCAGGGACAGUCAUUUUGGUAAUUGCAACUGUUUUAUUUAUAACUAGGCAAUCUGUACUUCAGGGCCAGUUUUUGCUCAGGAAACUCAUGGUAUGAAUGCCUCACUCAGCUUAAGAGCUAAAAACCAAAAGUAAGUUCAAGGUGAACCUCUUUACCAUGGCACUUGUUCCUCCCUCUCAGUGUGUAGCUUUUCCAACCUUCUGCUGGGAGCAUUUAAUAUAAUCCAAAUGAAUUAUAUCUUUGGCUCCAUUACUUAGUUCCUCCCCCUCCAUGCAAAACGUUAUGUCAAAAAGACUCCUCCUAAGGCUUUCUGUUGUCCCUUGUGGCUUCCUGCAGAUCGCUGGGAUAUAAUAUAUCUAUCUGAUCCAAUGCUUGCCAGCCUUCCUUAGUUUGCAAUGUCCAGCUGUGCGCUAUGGGGCAACACUUCAUCCUUUUAGCCUUUA